rnacentral:misc_RNA from 1 species
GGAUGGGGACCUUGGCCUACGCCUCCCAGGUGAUGGAGACCUUGGCCUACGCCUCCCAGGUGAUGGAGACCUUGGCCUGCGCCUUACUGGAGAUGGAGAUGUACGUCUACCUGGUGAGAAUCUGCGUCGAACAGGAGACCUUCGACUUGCAGGAGAUGGUGACCUCCUUGGUACACGAGCUGGUGAGCGGCGAUGGCGAGGAGAAAGUGACCUUAGUGGCCCAGAUGAUGGUGAUUUUCUGCGAAGAGGAGAUCUCCGGCGUGUAAAUGGGGAUGGAUAUCUUGACAAGGAAGGCGACCCUCUCCUUGAGUAAGGUGAUCUCCUUCUAGAAAUUGAAGGGGUACUUCUUGGAGAAUGCCUUCGGGGAGAAAUAGAACGUCUAGGUGAAG